rnacentral:rRNA from 1 species
UACGUAGGGGGCAAGCGUUGUCCGGAUUUAUUGGGCGUAAAGGGCGCGUAGGCGGCGCAACAAGUCACUUAUGAAAUCUCCGGGCUUAACCCGGAGCGGCCAAGUGAUACUGUCGUGCUAGAGUGCGGAAGGGGCUACUGGAAUUCUCGGUGUAGCGGUGAAAUGCGUAGAUAUCAGGAGGAACACCAACGGCGAAGGCAGCUCUCUGGGACGUUACUGACGCUGAGACGCGAAAGCGUGGGGAGCAAACAGG